rnacentral:rRNA from 1 species
AUGUUGCUGCGGUUAAAAGGCUCGCAGUUGAAUGUCGGUUAAUAUACGCGUAGAGGUGCCGGGACGUUGCGAGCUUUGUUGCCUCGUGCAUCAUUGUGAGCCGUCUCUCCAAGUGCAUCUCUCGCGGGCUAACGAUUAGAUUGACGGCACAGAGUGUUGCUCGUGCACGCAAGUGUACGUGGCUUCGCUCACACGUGUCGUCGGUUGACACCUUGAGUAAAUCAGAGUGCUUAAAGCAGUCGUUGAAACACUACGGCUGCGACUUACCCUCUCGCGAGGCUAAAGUCGUAUGUCUAUGGUGACGUCGCAAGACGUUUGGACAUUGUCUUUGCUUUGCAUGGUACGUCGGAAGACGCCGUGUGAGUUGGUUGCGCUUACGGUAAGACAUACCUUCUGUGUGUGCGCGUGCACCAACAAGCACGGAAUGAAUUGACAGGGAUGGCUCGAAGGCAUUGGUAUUGCGGGGCGAGAGGUGAAAUUCUAUGACCCCCGCAAGACUUCCCGAAGCGAAAGCGUCUGCCUAGGACGUCUUCAUUAAUCAUGAACGAAAGUUGAAGGAUCGAAGGCGAUCAGAUACCGCCCUAGUUGCAACCGUAAACGAUAUCAACCAUCAAUCCGUCAAAGCGUUCCCUUGAGUCUUCGGAGGCGGGCUUCGCGGCCCUCUUCGGGGACAAAGUGUAAGCGCUUGAUGGGCAGCUCUUCUAUCACGGGAAACCAGAGUGUUUCGGUUCCGGGGGGAGUCUGGUUGCAAAGCUGAAACUUAAAGGAAUUGACGGAAAGGCACCACCAGGCGUGGAGCUUGCGGCUCAAUUUGACUCAACACGGGAAAUCUCACCAGACCCGAACAUCUCUAACGAUUGACAGAUUGAAAGCUCUUUCUUAAUGAAGUGGAUGGUGGUGCAUGGCCGUUCUUAGUUGGUGGAGUGAUCUGUCUGGUUAAUUCCGAUAACGAACGAGACUCUCCCCUGCUAACGGACCUUAGUGUUUUUCUAGACGGUGUGAUUCGGAGCAAGAGUCCAUGGGCGUAAGCCCCGGUCUCGGACGAUGUCCACUGAUCCUUGGUGCGUUGGUGUUCCGUGUGCCAUCGGAGAGUUGAGUGUUCGCAUUCUUCGCCUCUGUGGAUUUCUCGGUUCAUCGACAAAGCGCCUCGGAGUACGUUUCUUCUUAGAGGGAUUGACGACUUAUAAGUCGUAAGAAACAGGGAGCAAUAACAGGUCUGUGAUGCCCUUAGAUGUUCUGGGCUGCACGCGUGUUACAAUGCCGGUAUCAACGGGUUAUUACACUUUUAGUGGCCUACUCCGAAAGGAGUGGGUAAACCUUUGAAAUACCAACUGCGUCUGUCUUCAUUGACAGUGCAAUUACGGCAUGCUUGGGACUGGGGAUUGCAAUUAUUCCCCACAAACUAGGAA